rnacentral:rRNA from 1 species
UACGUAGGUGGCGAGCGUUGUCCGGAAUUACUGGGUGUAAAGGGCGUGUAGGCGGGGAUACAAGUCAGAUGUGAAAUACCGUGGCUUAACCACGGGGCUGCAUCUGAAACUGUAUAUCUUGAGUGUCGGAGAGGAAAGUGGAAUUCCCAGUGUAGCGGUGAAAUGCGUAGAUAUUGGGAGGAACACCAGUGGCGAAGGCGACUCGCUGGAUCAUUGCUGACGCUGAGACGCGAAAGCGUGGGGAGCAAACAGG